UACGUAGGGAGCAAGCGUUGUCCGGAAUCAUUGGGCGUAAAGCGCGCGUAGGUGGCCUCAUAAGUCCGCUGUGAAAGUCAAAGGCUCAACCUUUGAAAGCCGGUGGAUACUGUGAGGCUAGAGUACGGAAGAGGCGAGUGGAAUUCCUGGUGUAGCGGUGGAAUGCGCAGAUAUCAGGAGGAACACCAAUAGCGAAGGCAGCUCGCCGGGACGUUACUGACACUGAGGCGCGAAAGCGUGGGGAGCGAACAGG
rnacentral:rRNA from 1 species